rnacentral:lncRNA from 1 species
AAUGUGCCACGGCCUGGAACGUCUGCGUUUAGAUGUGUUUCGUCGCCUGCUAAGCCGCCCGGCCCUCAGUCAGCGCCGCCGCAGCCGCCGUCGCCGGCUAAGCCGCCGGGCCCACAGCCACCACCUCCGCAGCCGCCCUCGCCAGCUAAGCCACCUAGCCCUCAGCCACCGCCGCCGCAACCGCCCUCGCCGGUUAAGCCACCUAGCCCGCAGCCACCGCCGCCGCAGCCGCCCUCGCCAGCUAAGCCACCCAGCCCGCAGCCACCACCUCCGCAGCCACCCUCGCCACCUAAGCCGCCCAGCCCACAGCCACCACCUCCGCAGCCGCCCUCGCCAGCUAAGCCACCUAGCCCACAGCCACCACCGCCGCAGCCGCCGUCGCCACGCGCUAAGCCACCUAGCCCACAGCCACCACCUCCGCAGCCACCCUCGCCAGCUAAGCCGCCUAGCCCACAGCCACCACCUCCGCAGCCGCCCUCGCCACCUAAGCCGCCCAGCCCACAGCCACCGCCGCCGCAACCGCCCUCGCCGGUUAAGCCGCCCAGCCCGCAGCCACCACCUCCGCAGCCACCCUCGCCACCUAAGCCGCCCAGCCCACAGCCACCGCCGCCGCAACCGCCCUCGCCGGUUAAGCCACCUAGCCCACAGCCACCACCUCCGCAGCAGCCCUCGCCAGCUAAGCCGCCUAGCCCGCAGCCACCGCCGCCGCAACCGCCCUCGCCACCUAAGCCGCCCAGCCCACAGCCACCGCCGCCGCAACCGCCCUCGCCGGUUAAGCCACCAAUCCCACAGCCACCACCUCCGCAGCCGCCCUCGCCACCUAAGCCGCCUAGCCCUCAGCCACCGCCGCCGCAACCGCCCUCGCCGGUUAAGCCACCUAGCCCACAGCCACCACCUCCGCAGCAGCCCUCGCCAGCUAAGCCGCCUAGCCCGCAGCCACCGCCGCCGCAACCGCCCUCGCCACCUAAGCCACCUAGCCCACAGCCACCGCCGCCGCAGCAGCCCUCGCCGGUUAAGCCACCAAUCCCACAGCCACCACCUCCGCAGCCACCCUCGCCACCUAAGCCGCCCAGCCCACAGCCACCGCCGCCGCAACCGCCCUCGCCGGUUAAGCCACCAAUCCCACAGCCACCACCUCCGCAGCAGCCCUCGCCAGCUAAGCCACCCAGCCCGCAGCCACCACCUCCGCAGCCACCCUCGCCACCUAAGCCGCCCAGCCCACAGCCACCGCCGCCGCAACCGCCCUCGCCGGUUAAGCCACCAAUCCCACAGCCACCACCUCCGCAGCCGCCCUCGCCAGCUAAGCCGCCUAGCCCGCAGCCACCGCCGCCGCAACCACCCUCGCCAGUUAAGCCACCUAGCCCACAGCCACCACCUCCGCAGCAGCCCUCGCCAGCUAAGCCACCCAGCCCACAGCCACCACCUCCGCAGCCACCCUCGCCACCUAAGCCGCCCAGCCCACAGCCACCGCCGCCGCAACCGCCCUCGCCGGUUAAGCCACCAAUCCCACAGCCACCACCUCCGCAGCAGCCCUCGCCAGCUAAGCCGCCUAGCCCGCAGCCACCGCCGCCGCAACCACCCUCGCCACCUAAGCCGCCCAGCCCACAGCCACCGCCGCCGCAACCGCCCUCGCCGGUUAAGCCACCAAUCCCACAGCCACCACCUCCGCAGCCGCCCUCGCCACCUAAGCCGCCUAGCCCUCAGCCACCGCCGCCGCAACCGCCCUCGCCGGUUAAGCCACCUAGCCCACAGCCACCACCUCCGCAGCCGCCCUCGCCGGCUGAGCCGCCCAGCCCGCAGCCACCACCUCCGNNN